rnacentral:rRNA from 1 species
UCCUACGGGAGGCAGCAGUGGGGAAUAUUGCACAAUGAAGGAAACUCUGAUGCAGCGACGCCGCGUGAGUGAAGAAGUAUUUCGGUAUGUAAAGCUCUAUCAGCAGGGAAGAUAGUGACGGUACCUGACUAAGAAGCACCGGCUAACUUCGUGCCAGCAGCCGCGGUAAUA